UUCACUUUCUUCUAUUCUAAGUCAUAAAAUCCAGAAUAGAGAAAUCCUCAAUUUAGAAAGGUCUACAGAAGUCAAUGUCAAGAGGUAAGUAACACUUCAACUGCAAUGUAAGGACAAAAUUCUUUUCAUAUUUAACUUCAGUUUUAACAAUUCCUUUAUGUUGUGAUGACUAUUAUGAUGUGAUUAAUUAUAAUCUAAAUUCUUAUAUGGUCGGCUAUGCCGCCUGUAUUAUGAUAUUUUCUUAUUUAAUCCUCGUAUGGCGGGCUAUGCCGCCUAAUCUGUGAUACUUAUACUUAAUUAUGCUAUGGUUGACUAUGUCGCCUAAUCUGUGAUACUUUUAUUUAAUUAUGCUAUUGUCGGCUCUAUCGCCUAUAUUAUAGUCUAAUUUUGUUUAAUCUCCAUAUGGAUGACACUGUUUCCUGCAUUAAAGAAUGUUGUUCCUAAAUACCAUUGUAUGUUAAUUUUGUUGUUCCUCUAGAAACUUCACAUAUUAUGACAUAUGUGUGCAUUGAACACAUGCAUUUCAUGAAUUACUUUAAAAGAAGACAUUUUAGAAAAAUGAAUUUCUAAAGAUGGGUUGUUGUACUACAAGGUUGCAAAGUUCCUAAAGAGGCAAGCCCUCCAAGCUUAGUAAAAGGUAAUCUUUUGGGGACGCGAUACGUAACGUCCAAAAGAUCAAUUAAUCAGGUCCAAGGGCAUAUGAUUUAAAGAAUAAAAGUGCUAGCUUUGUAGUGCAACAUACCUAUGGCCUUAAUGAAGUUGUUUUUGUAUUUUUCUAAGUUUCUUUUAAAAAGCUUUAUAUGGUCAUCUAUAUGCAUAAUAAGUUAUACCUGCAUCAAAGUGUUAUCUUACUGGACAUUAGCUCAUAAAGUCCUUACAUUGCAGGUAAAGAUGAGUAGGGCAAGCUAGUGCCAAGUCCUAACCAAGACGAAGUGCAUAUGGGCAUAACAAACCUUGGGUUUUAUGAUGGGCUCAACUUUUUUGCAAUAAAAAAAUAAAUUUCUUAGCUUUAUGUAAUAAUAACGUUUUUGGAAAAUAUUUGCAUGUCUUCUAUAUUUUGUAAGAGAGUUAUGCUUGUUAUGUAAAACUUUUUUUUUAGAAUUCGUAUUUAUAUUAAACAAGUAAUGAGG
rnacentral:lncRNA from 1 species